GUGGGUAUAGCUCCGUGGUAGAGCAUGUGCUUAGCAAGCAUGAGAUUCCAGGUUCAAUCCCCAGCACCUCCA
rnacentral:tRNA from 1 species